rnacentral:tRNA from 1 species
ACCUUUUUAGUAUAUUAGUAUAUUUGACUUCCAAUCAAAAGGUUUGUUUAUCAAAUAAGGUA